CUACGGGUGGCAGCAGGCGCGGAACCUUUACAAUGCACGAAAGUGUGAUAAGGGGAUCCCAAGUGCCUUGCUUUUAGCAAGGCUUUUGCCAUAUGUAAAAAGUAUGGAGAAUAAGUGGUGGGCAAGACUUGUGCCAGCCGCCGCGGUAACACCAGCGCCACAAGUGGCAACCGCUUUUAUUGGGCCUAAAGCGUCCGUAGCCGGUUUAGUAAAUUUCCUGUGAAAUCGUUAGGCUUAACCUAACGGCAUGCAGGAAAGACUACUAAACUAGAGACCGGGAGGCGUCAGAGGUAUUCCGGAGGGAGCGGUAAAAUGCUAUAAUCUCCGGAGGACCACCAGUGGCGAAGGCGUCUGACGAGAACGGAUCCGACGGUGAGGGACGAAAGCUAGGGGAGCAAACCGGAUUAGAUACCCCCGUAGUC
rnacentral:rRNA from 1 species